rnacentral:rRNA from 1 species
CAACGCCGCGUGAGGGAUGAAGGCCUUCGGGUCGUAAACCUCUUUUCUCAGGGAAGAUAAUGACGGUACCUGAGGAAAGAAAGCCCACGGACUAACUACGUGC